UACGGGGGGAGCAAGCGUUUGUUCGGAUUUACUGGGCGUAAAGGGCGCGUAGGCGGCCAGUGCAAGUCAGUUGUGAAAUCUCCGAGCUUAACUCGGGAAAGGUCAACUGAUACUGCUCGGCUAGAGUGCGGAAGGGGCAACUGGAAUUCUUGGUGUAGCGGUGAAUGACGUAGAUAUCAAGAGGAACACCUGCGGCGAAGGCGGGUGCUGGGCCGACACUGACGCUGAAGUGCGAAAGCUA
rnacentral:rRNA from 1 species